GCCCACUUAGCUCAGGGGGAGAGCGUUUGUCUCGUAAACAAAAGGUCGUCAGUUCAAAUCUGACAGUGGGCA